CCUACGGGUGGCAGCAGUGAGGAAUAUUGGUCAAUGGACGCAAGUCUGAACCAGCCAUGCCGCGUGCAGGAAGACGGCUCUAUGAGUUGUCAACUGCUUUUGUACGAGGGUAAACGCAGAUACGCGUAUCUGUCUGAAAGUAUCGUACGAAUAAGGAUCGGCUAACUCCGUGCCAGCAGCCGCGGUAAUACGGAGGAUUCAAGCGUUAUCCGGAUUUAUUGGGUUUAAAGGGUGCGUAGGCGGUCGGAUAAGUUAGAGGUGAAAUCCCGAGGCUCAACUUCGGAAUUGCAUCUGCUAAGGUUCGGCGAGAGAGUAGGUGCGGUAGGCGGAAUGUAUGGUGUAGCGGUGAAAUGCUUAGAGAUCAUACAGAAGACCGAUGGAGAAGGCAGCUUAACAAGCUACUUCUGACGUUGAGGCACGAAAGCGUGGGGAGCAAACAGGAGUAGAUACCCCAGUAGUC
rnacentral:rRNA from 1 species